rnacentral:rRNA from 1 species
GGGGAAUCUUGCGCAAUGGGCGAAAGCCUGACGCAGCGACGCCGCGUGGGGGAGGAAGCCCUUCGGGGUGUAAACCUCUGUCAGGAGGGAAGAAUGGGCAGGGGAGGAAAUGCCCCUGUUUUGACGGUACCUCCAAAGGAAGCACCGGCUAACUCUGUGCCAGCAGCCGCGGUAAUACAGAGGGUGCGAGCGUUGUUCGGAAUUACUGGGCGUAAAGCGCGCGCAGGCGGUCCUUUAAGUCUACCCGUGAAAUGCCGGAGCUCAACUCCGUGCACGCCGGGGGAUACUGGAGGACUGGAGACGAGUAGAGGCAAGCGGAAUUCCGGGUGUAGCGGUGGAAUGCGUAGAGAUCCGGAAGAACACCGGAGGCGAAGGCGGCUUGCUGGGCUUGGUCUGACGCUGAGGCGCGAAAGCGUGGGGAGCAAA